rnacentral:rRNA from 1 species
AUACGUAGGGUGCAAGCAUUACCCGGUCUUAUUGGGCGUAAAGAGUUCUGUAGGCGGUUGAAUAAGUUGGAAGUUAAAUAUCCCGGCUCAACCGGGAGGAGGCUUUCAAUACUAUUUGACUUGGAGGUGACUAGGGGGUAGCGGAACGCAUGGUGUAGCAGUGAAAUGCGUUGAUAUCGGGAGGAAUACCGGUGGCGAAGGCGGCUCUCUGGACCAUUACUGACGCUGAGACGCGAAAGCGUGGGGAUC